UGGGGGAUCGUCUAAUGGCAGGACAACGGGUUCUGGCCCCGUUAAUCUAGGUUCGAAUCCUAGUCCCUCAGCCA
rnacentral:tRNA from 2 species